UAUAACCCUUAUCGUUACGGUUCGCCUGUGUUCCGGCAUGGGCGCCAAGAGGGAAUCCCGUGCAAAUCGGGAGCGGAUCCGCCGCUGUACAUGGAGAUGGGCAUCGAAUAAUGCCACUGGCCACGGACUGUGAUCCGGCCGGGAAGGCUCGCUGCUCGCUAUAUCCGUAAGCCAGAAGACCUGCCGUAGCUAUUCUGUCCGU
rnacentral:ncRNA from 2 species